AGGAGCUGCCUUCUUAGUGGGAAGAGUCCCUGUGUGCUUUCCCAGUGUCCACAUUGGCUGUGUCUCACAAAGAUGCCAAGAGGCGAUGUGACAUCCAAAGGGAGAGCAGUGUGGCUUCCUGACCUGAAGAUGUGGGGACUGGUGCAGGAAGGCAGAGAAGCCUGGAGAGGGAAGGGAAACUAAAGCUCAGAGAAGGAACUUUCCUAAAGUCCACAGGAGUAUCACAUCUACACUCAGGUCCCCUGACUUCCAAAUCUGGAUUAUUACAAAGAAAUCCCAGAAUGGAAUUGUGAAGGGAUGUGUCUGCAGCUGGUGAGGAAGCCCAGGCACACAGAAUCCUGCAGACCUCCCCAGCCCCUCCGCAUCCACAGAGAGCACUCAGCCUAUCUUGAUCAACAGUCGGCAGCAACACAUUGCAGAUAUAAUCUCAAGACCUUGUGGCAUGUACUUGUCACUACAUGCAUAACUUACUAUGGACAGAGGAUCACGGAGAUUUUGAACAUAAUUUCCCACACGACAGGAGAUUAAAUAGACCACAUUGGAAGAAGGCAAGAAGAAGCUAGGUCUCUGGAGUACCAAAAAGUAAACUUCAGCCAGUUCUGGAAGCAUAUAAACAGCAGGAAAUAUACUUGCCGAUGGGCUACUUUCUCAAGAGUUCCUGCUUUCUAGAACUCUGGGGAAAGAAUGAGUUAGUGGGUAAGAAUGUAAGAGGAAAAAGGACCUUCCCUGGAAAGAUUUGGGGUGGAAGAAAAUCUGUGUCUCCUCAUUCAUGUAUGACUUUCUCCUCUCCCUUUGUGAUGCUCCUUUCUUGAAGAAUCUGCUCCCCCAGGUUCACUCCAUCAGAACCUACUCCUGAGACUGCAUUCCUGGCACCUAUAGUGAGGUGUUAAGUCAAUGUCCUACCUUUCAGUAUGUAAAUAUCAAGCUUUCUAUGUUUUUUUUUUUUCCAGUGAAGAAUUACUGGCUACCAACAAAUAAAUAAGAGAAGGCAUUAGGGUCCA
rnacentral:lncRNA from 1 species